AGAGUUUGAUCCUGGCUCAGGAUGAACGCUGGCGGCGUGCCUAACACAUGCAAGUCGAACGAGAAAGCUAUCUUCGGAAAGCGAGUACAGUGGCGAACGGGUGAGUAACACGUUGGUGACCUGCCCCGAGGUGGGGGACAACUGUGGGAAACCACAGCUAAUACCCCAGAUGUUGAGGAGUUUAGACGCCCUUAACUAAAGUUCCGGCGCCUCGGGAGGGGCCUGCGGGCUAUCAGCUUGUUGGUAGGGUAAUGGCCUACCAAGGCUAAGACGGCUAGGGGGCGUGAGAGCGCGAUCCCCCACAAUGGGACUGAGACACGGCCCAUACUCCUACGGGAGGCAGCAGUGAGGAAUAUUGCACAAUGGGGGCAACCCUGAUGCAGCAACGCCGCGUGAACGAUGAAGGCCUUCGGGUUGUAAAGUUCUUUUCUGAGGGACGAUAAUGACGGUACCUCAGGAAUAAGUCCCGGCUAACUACGUGCCAGCAGCCGCGGUAAAACGUAGGGGGCGAGCGUUAUCCGGAUUUAUUGGGCGUAAAGCGCACGUAGGCGGCGCGGUAAGUUGGACGUGAAAGCUCCUGGCUCAACUAGGAGAGGUCGUUCAAAACUAUCGUGCUUGAGGUUGGAAGAGGAGAGUAGAAUUCCCGGUGUAGUGGUGGAAUGCGUAGAUAUCGGGAGGAAUACCAGUGGCGAAAGCGACUCUCUGGUCCACACCUGACGCUGAGGUGCGAAAGCGUGGGGAGCGAACGGGAUUAGAUACCCCGGUAGUCCACGCUGUAAACGAUGGAUACUAGGUGUAGGGGGUCACUUAAUCCCUCUGUGCCGGAGCAAACGCGUUAAGUAUCCCGCCUGGGGACUACGGCCGCAAGGCUAAAACUCAAAGGAAUUGACGG
rnacentral:rRNA from 1 species